CAUUCGAGUGGCGGACGGGUGGAGUAACGCGUGGGUAACCUGCCUUACACAGGGGGAUAACGACCUGGAAACAGGUGCUAAUACCGCAUAAGCGCACAGGGCCGCAUGGCCCGGUGUGAAAAAACUCCGGUGGUGUAAGAUGGACCCGCGUCUGAUUAGCUUGUUGGCGGGGUAGGGGGCCCACCAAGGCGACGAUCAGUAGCCGGGCCUGAGAGGGUGGACCGGCCACAUUGGGACUGAGACACGGCCCAAACUCCUACGGGAGGCAGCAG
rnacentral:rRNA from 1 species